rnacentral:rRNA from 1 species
UACGGGGGGAGCAAGCGUUGUUCGGAUUUACUGGGCGUAAAGGGCGCGUAGGCGGUCAGCACAAGUCAGUUGUGAAAUCUCCGGGCUUAACUCGGAAAGGUCAACUGAUACUGCGCGACUAGAGUGCGGAAGGGGCAACUGGAAUUCUUGGUGUAGCGGUGAAAUGCGUAGAUAUCAAGAGGAACACCUGCGGCGAAGGCGGGUUGCUGGGCCGACACUGACACUGAGGCACGAAAGCGUGGGGAGCAAACAGG